UCCCGCUUGAAGGUCUCCAGGUGCUCCAGAGACUCCUCAUAGGCGUUCUUGAGCUUGAAGAGCUCUGUGCUCAGGGAGCGCGCCUCCUUCUGGGAAGACUCCAGCUCUGACUGCGACUCCUCAUACUUCUGCUUCCACUCAGCCAGGAUCUGCAGGGAAGGAGCGCCCUGUGACCAGAACUGCCCAGGCCCCUCUCCUGACUCAGCCCUCCUCCCCCACCUCCAAGGAACAUGCUGUGGCCUUGAGCUGGCACUGACCCCACCAGCAGCAUGCACAGUGUCUGCAGCCCCACCGUGAGCCUACCUUGUCAAAGUUCCUCUGCUUCUUGUCCAGGGCUGCGGCGGCGGCAUUGGAGCGCUCCACGUCCACCAUCAGGUCCUCGAUCUCAUUCUGCAGCCUGUGCUUGGUCUUCUCCAGGGAGGAACACUUGGCGUUGACGGCCUCCACUGCCUCCUCUGCAUCCUGCAGCCUCUGAGCCAGCUUCUUCCUGUCCAGGGGAAUGUAUGUGACUGUACUUGGAGCCACAAGGACGUGAGAUGAUCUCCUCCUUCCGAGUGUUGAUGGGAAAGACCCAGCUUCUCCCCACAGUUCCCUAAGAUGUUGGAACCCCAGCCUAGAGGAUGUGAGGGCUACUGGAGCCUAGAACAGAGACGUCCAUCACAGGCUGCUCAGACUCUCCCACACAUACAUCACAUCUGUGUGACUGUGCACCCCCACCCGCUUCCCUCAGGCCCAGGCUGCAUGAUGAUAGCUCCUCUGACCAACAAGCUUUUUGCUCGUCUUAUACGUGAGUGUCAGGUAUAACCCGGGCCAAAAGCUCACCCGUCAAAGGAAGUAAGCAAGGGCCAGCCAGGCGUUACAGGUUGCAGGACUCAGGCUUUCUACCAAACACUCCCAUGGCUCACCAGGUCUCCCCAUCCUCUGUUCUCCCACCCCAAAGCUCUUUCCUGCAUCUACUCUGCCUGUCUCCACAGCAGACGCUCUGCUCCAUUCUCUUGGCAAAUCCAGGGGCAGCCACAGUGGACUCACUUGGCUUCCUCCAGCUCCUCCGUCCUCUGUAUGGCAUCCGUCUCAUACUUGGUCCUCCACUGGGCCACCUCUGAGUUGGCCUUGGACAGGACACGCUGUAGCUCAGCCUUGGCCUCCAUUUCUUCUUCAUACUGUUCCCUCAGCAGGUCACAGUCAUGCCGGGAUGAUUGCAGUGCGUGGGCCAGGGCGUUCUUGGCCUGGGAAGAGCUUGGCUCGCUGUGUGGUGAAGUCAUUGAGGGAGCGCUGGGCUUCUUCCAGCUUCACGCGGUACUCAUUGGCCUGGUCCUCCAGUGUCCGGGACACUUUCUCCAGGUUGGCCUGCAGGCAUUAAUGAGCAGAGGAAAGGUGAAUGUGGAAAGGGCCACGACUGGCAGGGAGGAGGGGAGCUGCUGAGAGGGCCCACCUUGGCCUUGAUGAUCUGCUCCAUGUUGGAGGUGACGUCAUCCAGCUCCAGCUUGAACUCGCUCUUCUCUUUCUCCAGCUUCUGCUUCACCCGCUGGAGGUUGUCGAUCUGCUCGCCCAGCUCCGCCACGCUGUCAGCAUGCUUCUUGCGCAGGGCCGCCGCCGUGGCCUCGUGCUGCAGCGUGGCCUCCUCCAGGUCCCGCCGCAUCUUCUGGAACUCGGCCUCGCGCUUCUUAUUCAUCUCUAUCUGCACGGAUGUGGCCCCGCCUGCCUCCUCCAGCCUCUCACUGAUCUCCUCCAGCUCCCGGGACAGGUCAGAGCGCAGCUUCUCCACCUUAGCCCGGGCUGUGCGCUCUGCCUCCAGCUCCUCCUCCAGCUCCUCGAUGCGUGCCUAGCCAGGGAUACAAAGGAUCAGACCUGCUUCCUGGACCCCUCCCUUGAGGCCCGUGCUCCAGGGCUCUAAAAGGCUCCCAUGCGCACUAAACCUCUAGCACGGGUUUUCAGCUACUAGGUAUAGCUGGUGAUGGCUGGAGACAUUUUAAACUGUGUGGAGGAUGCUAUAGAAGCAAGGGACAUUGCUAAACACCCUAGAAUAGAAAAUUGGCCGAAGCCAAAGUUUGGAGGAUUUCCCUAAAGCAUCUGAGAUUCAGUUUGAGCAUCUGCAGCCUAAGUGUUGAGCAUCUGUGU
rnacentral:lncRNA from 1 species